UACAGAGGGUGCGAGCGUUAAUCGGAAUUACUGGGCGUAAAGGGUGCGUAGGCGGUUAAAUAAGUUAGAUGUGAAAUCCCUAGGCUUAACCUGGGAACUGCGUUUAAUACUGUAUAACUAGAGUCCUGAAGAGGUUAGUGGAAUUUCCAGUGUAGCGGUGAAAUGCGUAGAUAUUGGAAGGAACACCAGUGGCGAAGGCGACUAACUGGUCAGAAACUGACGCUGAGGCACGAAAGCGUGGGGAGCAAACAGG
rnacentral:rRNA from 1 species